UUAUUUAGAAAUAUAAAGAUUAGAGUAGUAAUAGUUAUGGUCUUGAAACUCAAAAAAUUUGGCGGUAUUUUAGUCUAUUCAGAGGAACCUGUAAUGUAAUCGAUAAUCCACGAUGGAUCUCACUUAAUUUUGUAUUUUAAUUUGUAUAUCGCCGUUAUUUGAAGAUUUUAUAAGAAAAAUAAUUUUCUAAAAUUUUUAUUAAAAAAUAAAUCAGGUCAAGGUGCAGUUUAUGAUUAAGUUUUAUAUGGGUUACAAUAAAUUUAUUUAUACGGAUUAAAAAAUGAAAUAUUUUUAAGAAGGUGGAUUUGAUAGUAAAUUUUUAAAGAUAAAAAAAUUGAUU
rnacentral:rRNA from 1 species